ensembl:lncRNA AA06 uncharacterized LOC100506677
UUCCAUCCGGCUAUGACUUCCGCAAGACAAUCCACUUCUUUGCAUUUCUGUCUAUCUCCCUGAAAGAAGACAUUGGUGAUUCCCCAGGUCUCCUACAACUCUGAAAUUUUGAUUCCAGGCAAUCCAUGGGGCAGACUUUUUAUCCUUAUUUGACAGAUAGAGAAGAUGUCAUGGCCCUGUAAGUCAAGAGAACAGGAUGGCCAAAGGCAAGAAGAAAAAGACACUGGAAGGGGCCCCUUUCUCCUUCAGAGAGCCUCGUUCUUACACAAGGGCCAAGAAACAGGACAUCUAAGGACUUGGAAGCCCCAGGCACGUGACCCCCGGCCUCUCUGUUCUCCAGCUAAGGAACGCUUUAUGGCCUUCGCAUUUAUUCAUGUAUUUCCUGGACCUACUUUGUACUAGGCCAAGGGAAGUGAGCUGAAUAAGACCCAGCGGGGUUGAGAGACAUAAAAAUGGCUUAUUGAAAUUCAAUACUCCAAGGGCUGGAAGAGAUGGAUGAGUAGCGAGCCGGAGGAGCACAAAGGCAGGAGUCCCGCUGUCUGCCUAGGGAAUGCUUGAGGAAAUAAGAAUAGCCCACAUUUAUUAAGCACACAGUACAAGCAAGCACUCUAUUAAAUGCCUUACAUGAUGUA